rnacentral:rRNA from 1 species
CGGCGGACGGGUGAGUAAUGCCUAGGAAUCUGCCUGGUAGUGGGGGAUAACGUCCGGAAACGGGCGCUAAUACCGCAUACGUCCUGAGGGAGAAAGUGGGGGAUCUUCGGACCUCACGCUAUCAGAUGAGCCUAGGUCGGAUUAGCUAGUUGGUGGGGUAAAGGCCUACCAAGGCGACGAUCCGUAACUGGUCUGAGAGGAUGAUCAGUCACACUGGAACUGAGACACGGUCCAG